GUGCUCGCUUCGGCAGCACAUAUACUGAAAUUGGAAAGAUAUAGAGAAGAUUAGCGUGGCCCCUGCACAAGGAAGACAUGCAAAGUUGUGAAGCAUUCCAUAUUUUU
rnacentral:snRNA from 1 species